AUUUAAUUGAACAUUUAUGAUAUCAACAUGUUAUUGUAAUGAAACUAAAAGAAAUGAGAAAACGUAUGAACCCUUGAUUAAUAAGAAAAUUUUAACAAAAUAUAUGGCGCGUAGGGUGGCCGAAUCGGGUCUAGUGUUGGGAGAUUUGAAAUCCAUACACAAAAGUCAUUACUACGGCGUGGGGUACAGCUGUGCAAUAUUUUUCAUGACGACAACAUUUAUUUUCAUUCAUUGAUAAUGAAGUCAAUAAUACUAUCUUGAAUUGAAAGAUAAUCAGAAUCAAAAUAGUUUGUGUCUUUAUUUUUUUCUUCUUGUAUAGCAUUGGGCAGACUGCAAAUUGAAUGGUGAAUUGUUAUUGUACGGCCGAAUUUAACAGACAAUCAAUAAAAUAACAAAACCGACUGCAUAUGCCAGACCCUCAUGGGUGGACAAGGUCGUACAACACCCCUAUUCGUAAAUAAAAUUAUAAAUAAAGAAGUCUCUCAU
rnacentral:lncRNA from 1 species